GAUCAAGUUACUAAGGGCACAUGGUGGAUGCCUUGGCACAAGAAGGCGAUGAAGGACGCGGUAAGCUGCGAUAAACCUCGGGUAGCUGCAAACAAGCUUAGACCCGGGGGUCUCCGAAUGGGGAAACCCGUCCCGGGUAAUGUCGGGACAUCCCCCGGUGAAUCCAUAGCCGGGAGGAGGCAAACGAGGGGAAUUGAAACAUCUUAGUACCCUCAGGAAAAGAAAGUGAUAACGAUUCCCUCAGUAGCGGCGAGCGAAAGGGGAAGAGCCUAAACCGGUUUGCACGUUAAAGCCUGCACGCGUUGUGCUGCCGGGGUCGUGGGAAUUCAGCUUGAUUUGGGUGCAGUCCGAGUCGAAGAGUUACAAAUCUGUGUCUUAGCCGAACAGUAUGGAAAGACUGACCACAGAUGGUGACAGUCCAGUAGGCGAAAAGAUUCAGACUCUUU
rnacentral:ncRNA from 1 species